ensembl:snoRNA
GUGAAGUGAUGAUUCAGUUUAUCCAUUCGCUGAGUGCUGCGCUGACCUUCUUCAAGCCCAGGUUCCUGUUCUGGGAACUCGAGCAUGUGGCCCCCAGUGCCUGGUGGCCUGCAGUGUUCUGCUGUGGGUCCCUGGUGCUGGGAACUGCAAGAGGACAGGUUGGUGGUGGCAGGGUGGGGCCUCUGGGUCCCACCAAGAUGAGUGGUGGAAUCUGAUCAC